CGAGUUUGAUCCUAGCUCAGAAUUAACGCUAGAAAUAUACAUUACACAUGCAAAUUAAUGAUAAUAUCAUAGUGUAUAGGUGAGGAUAUAUAAAUUUUUAAUUUUAAAUAGAUUAUAAAUUUUAUUAAAUAAUAAUCUAUAAGCGCAAAAAUAUAUGUACUAUAUUAAAAAUUAAUAUUAUUUAAAAUAAAAUUUAUAUUUGAUUAACUAGUUGGUAAUUUAAAAGACUACCAAGGUUAUUAUCAAAAAUUGGUUUGAAAGAAUGUACAAUCACAUUAGGAUUGAAAUAAAGCCUAAAUUUUUAUAAAAAAUCAGCAGUGAGGAAUAUUUUACAAUAAGUGUAAGCUUGAUAAAGUAAUAUUUCUUUUAGGAAGACAGUAUUAUUAAAAUAUUGUAAACUUUUUAUUUUAUUUUUAAAUAUUGAUAAAAAUAAAAAAUAGUAUUUGCUAAUUUCUGUGCCAGCAGCAGCGGUAAUACAGAAAAUGCAAGCGUUAUUCAUUUUAUUAGGCGUAAAGCGUUUUAAGGUUUUAUAUUAAUUUUAUGUUUAAAUAUUUAAAUUAAAUUUAAAAUAAAUUAAUAAAUAAUAAUAUAAUAGAGUAUUAUAAAAGUAUUAAGAAUUUUUUGAGAAGUAGUGAAAUACAAUGAUACAAAAAAGAAUAUCAAAGGCGAAAGCAUAAUACUAUAUAAUUACUGACACUUAAAAACGAAAGCUAAGGUAGCAAAUAGGAUUAGAUACCCUAGUAGUCUUAGCUGUAAACUAUGAAUAUUUUAUAUUUAUAUUUUAUAAAUAUAAUAACUAACGUGAUAAAUAUUCCGCCUGAGUAGUAUAUUCGCAAGAAUGAAAUUCAAAGGAAUUGACGGGAGCUUAUACAAGUGGUGGAACAUGUGGCUUAAUUCGAUGCAACACGAUAAACCUUACCAAAAUUUAACAAUAUUUUUAAUAUUAAGAAAUUAAUAUUUUAAUAAAAUAUAUAGGUAGUGCAUGGCUGUCGUCAGUUCGUGCUGUGAAGUGUUAAUUUUAGUAUUAUAACGAACGUAACCUUUUAUAAAAAAAAUUUUUAUAAUAAAUAAUAAUAAAGAUUACGUCAAGUCAUUAUGCUCCUUAUAUUUUGGGCUGCUCACGUGUUACAUAAAAUAUUACAAUAUUUUAUUAUAUGUUAAAUAUAAUAAUUAAAAUAUAUUUAUAUUUUAUUAUAUGUUAAAUAUAAUAAUUAAAAUAUAUUUAUAGUUCAGAUUAUAAAUUGAAACUCAUUUAUAUAAAGAUGGAAUCACUAGUAAUCGCUAAUCAGAAUUAUAGCGGUGAAUAAGUUCUUAAGCUUUGUACACACCGCCCGUCACAUCUAAAAAGUAUCAUAUUAUAUAAAAAUUAUUGUUAAAUAAUAAUAUAUAAUUAUAUAAUUU
rnacentral:rRNA from 1 species